rnacentral:rRNA from 1 species
GAUCAUGGUUCAGGACGAACGCUGGCGGCGCGCCUAACACAUGCAAGUCGAACGAGAGAUGAGGAGCUUGCUCUUCAAAUCGAGUGGCGAACGGGUGAGUAACGCGUGAGGAACCUGCCUCAAAGAGGGGGACAACAGUUGGAAACGACUGCUAACACCGCAUAAGCCCACGGCUCGGCAUCGAGCAGGGGGAAAAGGAGCAAUCCGCUUUGAGAUGGCCUCGCGUCCGAUUAG